CCUACGGGUGGCAGCAGUGGGGAAUAUUGCGCAAUGGGCGAAAGCCUGACGCAGCGACGCCGCGUGAGGGAUGAAGGUCUUCGGAUCGUAAACCUCUGUCAGCAGGGAAGAACGGUCACUGUGCUAAUCAGCAGUGAAUUGACGGUACCUGCAAAGGAAGCACCGGCUAACUCCGUGCCAGCAGCCGCGGUAAUACGGAGGGUGCGAGCGUUAAUCGGAAUUACUGGGCGUAAAGCGCUCGUAGGCGGUAUGUCAAGUCAAGGGUGAAAUCCCCGCGCUCAACGUGGGAACUGCCUUUGAAACUGGCAAACUGGAGUGUGUGAGAGGAUGGUGGAAUUCCAGGUGUAGGAGUGAAAUGCGUAGAUAUCUGGAGGAACAUCAGUGGCGAAGGCGGCUAUCUGGCACAUAACUGACGCUGAGGAGCGAAAGCGUGGGUAGCAAACAGGAUUAGAUACCCUAGUAGUC
rnacentral:rRNA from 1 species